CUUAAGUAUGUGCUCCUCGCUGUAAACAUGGACAAAUAAUAACAUAAAAAUGUGGGAUUUUAGAUGGGCGUAAUGAAGAGCAGAAUGCCCAUAAAGGACCUACAUACAAUC